ACUCGUUGGUGUUGGAUGCGAGUUCGCAGUGAGGAUUGGCGUGAGAGAGUGGCCCUCAUAGAAUAUACUGAUGCAGAAUGGAGAGAACUUUCGCAUGCCCUGAAGAUCCUUUCAGAAGCUAUGCGGCAUGAUGGAGAGAAGCCUGCGCCCCAAUGAUAUUACUGUUCGUGCGGCUGCGCCACUUGAUAUGCGAGUGUCGAUUGCCUGUUACAAACUGGGAAGCUGUGGGGAAUAUUAUGUUGUAGCCAAUCAGUUUGCGGUAGACAAAUCAACAGUAAAAAAGUUUGUGUGUAUGUUCUGAGGCAAAGGUGUCCUCGGUGAUCCGAGAUCUUAUCAAACUCCCAACGCUGGAGGAGGCCUGCGCCAUCGCACAGAGAUUUGAGAGGGUGUACCACACUCCGCAAAUCAUCGGAUGCGUGGACGGUGCACAUAUCCCUAUCCUGCCACCUACUGACGGAUACAGGGACUUUGUCAACCGCAAAGGCUGGCCUUCCAAUGUUCUUCAAGGGAUUGUUGAUGAUACCUAUUGUCUGACACAGCAUUUGGAAUAUCAGCUGCAAACUGCCUGGAAGUGCACAUGAUGCAAAUGUAGUGAGACAAUCGACUCUGUUUGAGAAGGCUCACCUACUCCCAAAGGGUGAAGAACAUACUGUACAGGGAGGCAGGUGAACUUUUUCGUUCUUGGCGACCUGGAGAGAGCCCUACCUCAACCUGGUGCACAAGCACAGAAUGCACCCAACGCCAAUGGUCAUGCUGCAAGGCAAGCCCUGACAGAGUACAUGGCAGCCAACUUCCCUCUCCGCAGGUGACUACCUCAUGAAGCUGGUUGAGAGAAUGCCAAAAGUGUGCAAAGCUGUCAUCAGGACAAAGGGUGGCUACUUUGAAGAAUCUCAAAUGUAAUGUAUAUUUUGAUUUGUUUAACACUUUUUUGGUUAAUACAUGAUUCCAUAUGUGUUAUUUCAUAGUUUGAUGUCUUCACUAUUAUUCUACAAUGUAGAAAAUAGUACAAAUAAAGAAAAACCCUUGAAUGAGUAAGUGUGUCCAAUCUUUU
rnacentral:lncRNA from 1 species